rnacentral:rRNA from 1 species
CGAACGGGUGAGUAAUACAUAAGAACCUGCCCUAGACAGGGGGAUAACUAUUGGAAACGGUAGCUAAUACCGCAUAAUGUCUGCGGACCAAAGCGGGGGACCUCCGGGCCUCGCGCCAUCAGAUGAACCCAUAUGGGAUUAGCUAGUAGGUAAGGUAACGGCUUACCUAGGCGACGAUCCCUAGCUGGUCUGAGAGGAUGAUCAGCCACACUGGGACUGAGACACGGCCCAG